AUGGCACGAGCUUGGAGACAACAUUUCUAUGCAAUAUCCCAGGUAUCUACUAAUCUGUUCAUGGCAUAUUUUAAUUCUCAAGAGGACAUGAUGUUUGUCUUCACACGACAGCCAUGGAUGUUGGGGUCAGAUAAUUUACUUCUAGAAUGGGUAGAUCCAAAAGAUGAGAGCAAGACGAAAGAGGAUUACAAGUUUGAUUACAUUUAUACCACUAUAAGAGCUUAUGAUAUUCUUUGCACAGUUGGUGAACCGUCUGAAUUUCAUCCUCUUCAAAUUAAUAUGAUUUUCUCAAAAGCAGAAUACAUUUGGGGUAUGGCAAAGUUAAGGGUAGGGCAGAAAGUAGUGGAUCAAAUCAGUCUUACCCUACCAGACAAUUCCUCAACUAUGGUUUACUUGCACUAUGAGAAAAUAGGAAGAAUCUGUCUAUUUUGCGGGAUCAUGUUUCAUACUGUGCAACAUUGCCCUUUAAGAAAUUGUCUGAUCAUGGAAAGAGCUAAACAUAGAAAACCUGUCAAAUGA
rnacentral:rRNA from 1 species